rnacentral:tRNA from 1 species
GCCUCCUUCGUCUAGUGGUAAGGACACCGGGUUUUCAUCCCGACAACACCAGUUCGAUUCUGGUAGGAGGUG